AGCAGCCGCGGUAAUUCCAGCUCCAAUAGCGUAUAUUAAAGUUGUUGCAGUUAGAAAGCUCGUAGUUGAAUUUCGGGGUCAAUAAGUUGGUCGUGCCAAUGGUAUGCACUGGCUUUAUUGAUUCCUACCUCUUGACGAACUGUGAUGCCAUUAAUUUGGUGUCGCAAGGAAUCAGGACUGUUACCUUGAAAAAAUUAGAGUGUUUAAAGCAGGCUUACGCUUGAAUACAUUAGCAUGGAAUAAUGAAAUAGGACGUUUGAACCUAUUUUGUUGGUUUUUAGGAUCGACGUAAUGAUUAAUAGGGAUAGUUGGGGGCAUUAGUAUUCAAUUGUCAGAGGUGAAAUUCUUGGAUUUAUUGAAGACUAACUACUGCGAAAGCAUUUGCCAAGGAUGUUUUCAUUAAUCAAGAACGAAAGUUAGGGGAUCGAAGACGAUCAGAUACCGUCGUAGUCUUAACCAUAAACUAUGCCGACUAGGGAUCGGAUGAUGUUAAUUUUUAAUGA
rnacentral:rRNA from 1 species